rnacentral:lncRNA from 1 species
AUAACCAUUCAUUACUUACAUUCAAUUCCCUUGAAUUGGUUCCUUACGUUGAAUUUAACCUAGAAAGACCACAUAAGGUUUUAUUCUUGAAAUAUGAAGACCUUAAAGAAGAUGUUAAUUUUCACACGAAAAGAAUUGCAGAAUUUGUGGGAUUUCCUUUCACUCAAGAAGAGGAAAAUAAUGGAGUGAUUGGAAAUAUAAUCAUAGCAGUAAAUGUUAACAGAGAGUUUUUCUUUCGAAAGGGAGAAAUAGGGGAUCAAUGAUAGAAGAAAAAUUAAGUGGAUCAAGCCUAUCAUUUAAAGGGUGACCUUCACUCAGCUAGAGUUGGUGAUUACUUUCAUGGUGUUUUGUUGUAUUUAAUAUGCGGUUGGUGUGUUGGUAGUACCUUGUCUUUUAAAUUUGCAAAAUAAAGACAUGUUAUAUGUCUAAUUAAUUAGGAAAAUGUUAUAUAGACACCCUUUAUUCCGAUACACCCUUGUACAUCCCAUACAUUAGGAAGAGAGAAGAGGAGAUAAAAAGAGAAAGUGUGCUUGUGCGGGGUCCAUGUGGCUACGUGUCAGAUUUUUGUGUGGUGUCAAAGGGUGUAUUGCCACCUAAGGAUGUCUAUGUAUCAUAACUCAAUUAAUUAUGUGGUAAUCUGAAUACCAAAGAACCCCUUCAAGAAACAGUUUGAUGGGAAGUGCGAUUGUGUGUGUAAUUUUUCCUAAAGCAAAUGCAUGGAUAGUCGUUUUUCAUCGGCUAAAUUACCUUUUUGGUCCUCUAACUAUUUAAUUGGUAUCGGAUUAGUCCUCUAACUAAAAAUUGAUUUAUUUCGGUCCUCUAAGUUUCUGACCGUUACUACAUUUAGUCCUUUCUGUUAGUUUUAUUCAAAUAAACGUUAGGGUUUUUGUUAUGUGGGUCCUCUAACUUUAUUUAUUAGUAUCAUUUUGGUCAUAUUAUUUGUUAAGGUAUUAUGAUUAAAUAAUGAUUGAUAUUAUUGGUAACUGUUAUGGUUCAUAUGUAUGUGUGAAACAAGAGGUCAGAUACUCACAUAACACAAAUCAUAACGUUUAUUUGAAUAAAACUAACAGAAAUGACUAAAUGUAGUAACGGUGAGAAACUUAGAGGACCGAAAUAAAUCAAUUUUUAGUUAGAGGACCAAUCCGAUACCAACUAAAUAGUUAGAGGACCAAAAAGGUAAUUAAGUCUUUUUCAAUUUCAAUUUACACGUAAAAAUAUAAUGAAAAUGAUAUUUUCAUUUUCUUAAUAGGGUUUAGGGUUUAGGGUUUAGAAUAAAGAAAUAUAAUAGCAUUUAAUAACAAAUUAGUGCCAAUAAAUUUCCUUUUUUUCUUUUAACUUUUUCUCAAAAAAAAAAAAAGACAUAUACAACAAAAAAAUCUAUGAUGACAACCCUCCAAAAAUAUAUUGUUGUUAUUGAAAUGGUUUUGAAAAAUAAAAAUUUAUGACGGCCCCUCAGAAAAUGUCAAUGCUAUCAACUUUCAAUAAUUUGUUUUUUUUUAGGGAAACUUUCAAAUAGUUGUUGUUAUUGUAUAUUAUUACAAUGGCUAUUGUUACAUAUUUAAUUUGAAAGGACUAUUAUUGCAUAUUUGAAAUGUUGUUAUUACAUAUCAUAAUGGCUAUUAUUACAUAUUUAAUUUGAAAGGACUAUUAUUGCAUAUUUUAAAUGUUGUUAUUACAUAUCAUAAUGGCUAUUAUUGCAUAUUUGAAUGAUUAAUUAAUCAUUAUUAUCUAACACCCUUUCUCUCUUCUCACUGUAUCGGCCGCUGCCUAAAUUCUUAUCUCUGUCGCCCCUUCUUUCCAAAUUCCUUUGGUUCACAAUGUAAACGGCGGUGGUGGCUGAAGGUGCGAAGAUGGAACAACCAUCCGCAUCACCUCUAGUCACUGUUCUCUCGGCGCUGAUUUCGCAGAAAGAAUGUGUUCUUGGUGCGUUCUUGUUUUUUCCGGUGGGUACUCCGACGGCUGCGUUUUCCAAUAUCGUAGCUUGUGGUUGUGGUGGUUUUCAAGGUGGUUUUUGAUGGUUUCUUCAUCUCCUCUAUACGUUUCCAUGGUUUGUUUUAGUGGUUUUCAGAUAUGUUCCAUUUAUGGCUAUUUUCGAGCUAGUUUUUGGUGGGUUAAGUUUUUUUUUUUUUUUUUUGUGGUGGAUUGGUGGUGACUCUAUGGUGGUUAUGGGGUGGAUCGGUGGUGGUUAAGUGGUGUGGUUGUUGCGUCGGUGAGAGGUCGUUAUGGGGGUGGUGGUUAAUGGUUCACUAGUCGGCCAUAGGUGUGUGGUUGCGGUUAUGUGGUGUGUGUUGGACGAGGUUGUGGUGGCUUGGUGGUGGUGAGGUGUUUGUGGUUUGGAGGGUAUGGGUUGGUGGUUGUUGAGGAGUUCGUAGGUUAUUUUUUUGGCUAUGUUGGUUUGUGGUGCUUCGUGGUGGUUUCAAUGGUGGUGCUGGUACUAGGUCUUUUGUGGUGGUGCUCGUGGUGGUUUUUGGUGGUGAUGCUCGUGGUGGCUGGUGCUAGUUUUUGGUGAGGAUUAAUGAUGGUUUUUGUGGUGGUUAAUGGUAGUUUUGGUGGUGCUUGUGGUGGCUACGCUUUUUGUGUGUUUUCUUCUAUGAGUUUGUUGUUGAGGGGAUUUUCAAAUACAUGAUGUUAGACGGUGUUGCUUGUUUAAGGUGCGGUUACAUGAGUUUUUGGUAGGUUUGAUGGUUAUUGGAGAGGUUUUUCAACGGUAUGACACAAGAUUUGUUUCUGCUAUUGCGUAGGCGUUUAGACUUUGAUUUUUUUAGAUGAUUUCUUGGUUUGGUGUUUAGUCUCUAUUGGUUUCGAGGACCCUCCGUGAAGGGUGUUUUUGGUUUGUUUGUAGAAGUUUGUAUUUGAUACAUGGGUGUUUGUUUGUGUGUUCCGCAUAUAUACGGCACACUUUUCCUGUGUAUGUUGUUUUUUAAUUCUCCUAGCCUAGCAUUCCUUGUGCUUGCUAGAAUUCUUUGCAUGUUAAAUAAAUUUCAUUUUAGCUUCUUCAAAAAAAAAUCAUUAUUGUUGUAUAUUUUGUUGUGUGCUUUACACGGUUGACAUCUAUAACACAUUGAAUUAUUCUAACUUAAGUGUCCCAAUUGUCGAUGUAAUUAAUGAUCUUAUUAAAUAUUUUAUAUUGAUUUAUGAAUAUAAACAUUGAAUUAUGAUUCAUGUAGGCUAUUAUAUAAAAUAUGAUCUCUUUAGUAACUGAAUUCUCAAGUGUCAAAUAUAGACUUAGGAUCAAGAAUCCUAGUCUAGAGCCACCUGACUCACAUUUCAAAGAUCUAUUCUGGUGUUCUUUUUGCAUAAUAUCAGAUGAAAAUGUACUAAAAUCUUCUUCAUUUAUCCUUGUUAUAUAUUUUUUUAUAGGAACACCAUUUCAUAAUUCGUCCAAGGCAUCUAAAUUCAAAGGACCAGCCCUUUAUAUAUUACCGUUUGUCUUCAUUGGAGGUUUAUGUUUUAUUAUAAAAUAGUAUAAGGUUGCAUCCAUUAAAAAAGAAAACCACUUGUAGUUGAAUGUGUAGGAAUUUUAAUUUAUUAAUUAUUUAUUUUAAAGUGUUACUAUUAAUUUUAUUAAUUAUUAUAACUAAUUGUUUCUUUUGACCAAGUAUACUACACGUUUUGCUUGCCCACUCAAUAGUAUACAUUAUCUUUUACCAAGUCACCUAAUUACUUGGUAUAUGGUUAUGCUUACGAGCAACGUUUUAAUUCAAUGCAUUUGUAUAUAUGAGUGGGCUGCAGUACGUGUAUAUAUAUAGAUGGGGAUGGGGCACACGAGAACGGCUUCUUUGAAAUAAACACUUAUAAUCAUACAUAAUGGGAAUAAACAUUUUUUUUUCCCUUGAGCAUCCAUAAGUGGUUUCUGAGACCUUGCUAAUCCACGUGCGGUGCUAGCAAGAAGCGACUGUUUAUUCUGGAGAAGUAUUAGCUAUGAGAUCUAUCGCAUCGGAUAACUUAUCCGGGAUGGCGAAAUACUCUUAAACCCAAUGCAUUGCACGUCUCAGUCAAUAAUCGAUAAGUGUUUUGUUCUCUUUUUAAUUUCAUGAAGAGUCAUAUUUAAUUGUGUUUAUAUUUGUGUUUGAUUUUAUUAUUUAUAAUGAUUCUGUCUAAUUUUUCCCACAAUGUCAUGCAAAUCCAUUUGUCUUCAUGCAAAGAGUAUCUUACUAUAUCGUUAUUGAUUAGAUUGUUAAUCUUACUAACAGAAAGUUGACUUCAAUAGUAUGCAACGAAAUUAAUCAUGUAAUCAUAAAUAAUUAUAUAUCUCUCCCAGCUGGUAUAACAUUUUUUUUAAUACCAUUAGAUCACAAGGUUCCAUUUCAUAAAGUAUUAAAUAAAAUCCUAAUCUAGUUAAAAUUAUUGAAUGAAUACUGGUAUCGUGCUAUAAAUAAUAGCUGGUUAUUAACACAAUUUUCAAGAUAACGAAAAUUGCAACUAGUGUUGUGUUCUCCUUCAAUGGCUUCAACAGAUCUCAAACAUAUGAAAGAAGACCAAUCAAGGGAUGGACAAGAAAAAAUUAGCGAAGAAAACAAGGUAAUCCAUGAUUAUAAUAACCUAAUCUUGUCUCUUCCUAGAGAAGAUGAUGGGUCUGUAAGUCAAUAUUUGUAUUUUUAUCAUGAAUUUUGGUGUCCAUCUACAUUUAUCCAAUCUACGAUCUCUUUUCAAAAUAAUUUUCAUGCUAAAGACAGUGAUAUUAUUGCUGCAUCCAUGCCAAAAUCUGGCAGCACUUGGCUUAAAGGUCUUGCAUAUGCUAUUGUUAAUCGCCAAUAUUUUACUUCCUUAGAGAAUAAGCAUCCAUUACUAUUAUCUAAUCCACAUGAACUAGUGCCUCAGUUUGAAGCAAGCCUUUAUGGUGGCAAAGAUCCUGUUUUGACUCAAGUUGAUGUACCAAAUAUGACUGAACCAAGGCUUUUUGGAACUCACAUGCCAUUUCCUUCGUUGCCCAAGUCAGUUAAAGAGUCCAAUUGUAAAAUAAUUUAUAUAUGUAGAAACCCAUUUGAUAUAUUUGUAUCAUAUUGGACUUUCUUCAACAAAAUCAGAUUAAAGAAAUCUUUAACUGAAUUAACUUUAGAGGAAGCUUUUGAAAGGUAUUGUAAGGGAAUAUGUAUAUUUGGUCCGUUUUGGGAGAAUAUGUUGGGUUACUUCAAGGAAAGCAUAGAAAGACCAUAUAGGGUUUUAUUCUUGAAAUAUGAAGACCUUAAAGAAGAUGUUAAUUUUAACAUCAAAAGAAUUGCAGAAUUUGUUGGAAUUCCUUUCACUCAAGAAGAGGAAAAUAAUGGAGUGAUUGAAAAUAUAAUCAAGUUAUGCAGCUUUGAGAGUAUGAAAGAAUCAAAUGGAAAUAAUUCU